rnacentral:rRNA from 1 species
GUGUCAGCAGCCGCGGUAAUACGUAGGUGGCAAGCGUUGUCCGGAUUUAUUGGGUUUAAAGGGUGCGUAGGCGGUCUAUUAAGUCAGCGGUGAAAUACUCCAGCUUAACUGGAGGGGUGCCAUUGAUACUGAUGGACUUGAGUCAAGUCGAGGUAGGCGGAAUUGACGGUGUAGCGGUGAAAUGCUUAGAUAUCGUCAAGAACACCAAUAGUGAAGACAGCUUACUGGGCUUAAACUGACGCUGAGGCACGAAAGUGUGGGGAUCAAACAGGAUUAGAAACCCCAGUAGUCC